AGUCUGGCUUCUCUCUAAGAAGACAUGCAUUUGAGAGCCGUCCACGUUCCUUUUGGUUGCUGAAUCGGUUGCUGAAUCGUGUUCCAUUGUGCAGAUGUAUACCCAGUCACCAGAUUUUCAGAUGAAGUACCGCCUGCUCCAUGGGCAUGCUGUGAUGCUUCAAUAUGUGUAGAGCAUGGUACCUGGUGCACAGCAAGGAUGAAUAGGAAUGUCAGCUGUAGUUGGUUAUUAGUGAGCGUGGUUUUGGAGUUUGGAUUUCUGCUGUCAGCUCAAAGCAUGAGCCCAUGAGUCACUCUCUGUGCCACCUUGGUUUACCCGUCGCUGACAGUGGGCUCUCGUUCAGCACCCAGGACAGCGCCCAGCACUCGUAGGUGUUUGAGAACUAUUUCUUCAAUAAAUGAAUGAAUGAGGGCUUGCUAUAUUCCAAGCCCUGCAGCUACAGAGAGGAAUUAAACCUAAUAGAUGAGUGACGGGACAGAAACAAAAAAUAGAGGUGCUGGUAUUCAAGCCUGGGCCUGCCUGCACGGCGGGCAGAGGGCUGGUUCCCAGGAGGGAGACCCAGGCCCAGCUCCACCCCAUCAAAUCCCAAUGGGGCAGGUGGCUCCCUCUUGCCCUGCCCCCCACUGGCCCAGGGCCUACCUCAAAAAGCCAGACGAGGAGCGUCACAGCGCCCACGGAAUUCAUGAGGUUGCUGUAGUAGCUCAGCAGGGCGACCCUGCAGCCGCGCACCCACAGGUUGAGCUCCUCCGUCUGGUGGUCAUAGCUGUAGUGUGCAGAGUUGUUGGUGAGCUGGUACUGGAUACAGGGCCGUGGCGAGCUGGGGUUGCAGCAGCUGAAGGGGACUCCAUCCACCAGGUACCGCCCAUCCACGUUGCUCUUGAUACGACUGGAGGAGAAACAGACGGCUUACGACCAGCUUCUUGAACUUCUCGCCAGGGGCCAGCUCCUCCCAUCCCCCACCUCUGAAAAUCUGGAAUAUUCAUUCAUUCAUUUGCUGUCUUGAGAAAUAUUUGCUGUACACCGACUAUGCGCCAGCCACUGUUCUAGGUGCUGAAGAUGGAGCAGUGACCCUAGAGAGCCAAUGCCCCAGCCUUCCUGAAGCUUAUGUUUAGAGGGUUGAGAUAGAUGAUAAACCAAGAGACAAGUAAAUAAGGAACAUAUGUAUUCUAGCCCUUGUGGAGCAAUAGAGAUUCAACAAAACCUUACAAUGAUAUUUCGAGAGUUCUGCGGACCUGCUGAUCCUGAAACUGCCUGGCAUUUACGCCCUGGAAGCCUCUGAGCAAUCUUUGGUAAAACUAAGAUCCAGAAUGCUGUUCACUGGACUGAUUUGCCAGAGGAUGGCCUAUUAGAGGUUCAGGAUUUCUUCAAGAUCCUGGAUAACUAACGGUAUAGAUAGUAAAGAAGUCACAAGUUGGGGCAUUUAGACAAGAGUGAAUCACACACAUGAGAAAUGUGUUCAUUCUUUUAUUGCCCAUUGUUUUAUUGUUUUUUUGUUUUUUUUUUUAAAUAUGAAGUGCUGCCAUCUUUUUUAAUUUAUUUAUUUUUAUGGCUGUGUUGGGUCUUCGUUUCUGUGCGAGGGCUUUCUCCAGUUGUGGCAAGUGGGGGGCCACUCUUCACUGCAGUGCGCGGGCCUACUCACUAUCGCGGCCUCUCUUGUUGCGGAGCACAGGCUCCAGACGCGCAGGCUCAGUAACUGUGGCUCACGGGCCCAGCCGCUCCGCGGCAUGUGGGAUCCUCCCAGACCCGGGUUCGAACCCGUGUCCCCUGCAUUGGCAGGCAGACUCUCAACCACUGCGCCACCAGGGAAGCCCCUUGCCCAUUGUUUUAACCUGACUGAAUACAAGAUCGACAAGAGCACUGUACUCCUGGCAAUUAUUACGUGUGUUGGAACAUGGAUGUUGCACUGUAGACAACAUUUAACACCAGUCUGUGGAGUACUGCACUGUAAAGUGCAAAAUAAAGAUUUAUUUUUUAAAAAAAUCAACCACUCUGUGUGCUGCCAGGCCCUGGCAUGCAGUGAUUUCUUGGGCCCAUGCCAAGCUGGUAGGAAGAGUAGCAGGACAGGUGGUGACUGCUGAGACAAGACUGCCCAGUAUUCAUGACCACCAGCUUUAGCCCCCAGCCUCUCCCCCCCCUCAUCUCCCCCUGCAGACCACUGGGGACCAAGGUCCCCCCUGGCCAGAUCACUUCUGCUCAACAGACGUUUCCAGAAGGCCUGCUCUGUCCCUGGGCCUUUGCAGGAGCAGAGAAUGGGUCUUUGCCCAUGGCUUGCUCUCCAUUCACACUGACCUCUGCCCCCAGCUGGGUGGGAGCUCCGUACUCACCUGAAGGAUGCAACUUGCACAACUUUUGCAUCUCUCUACUUAUACAUAUAUUUGGUUAGAGCACACCAUAACAUUCAUGCAGGUUCAAACUUCAAAAGGGGCAACCAUCGUUACAAUGAAAAUUCACUCCCUCCCCAUCAGGCAGGCUGGAUAUGUUCCAUCUGACCUGCUCGUGGUUACCCAGGCAACUUUACGUGUCAGAAUUAAUGGAGGGAAUUCCCUGGAGGUCCAGUUGUUAGGACUCCGCACUUUCACUGCCGAGGACGCAGGUUCAAUCCCUGGUCAGGAAACUAAGAUCCCACAAGGCACAUGGCGCAGCCAAAAAUUUUUUUUUAAAAAAAAUUCAUGGAGCUGUGCACUUAAGAUUUGCGCCCUUGACUGUGUGCAUGUUAUCUUGAGUAGAAAAGUUUUUUUUUAAGUUGCACAUGAACAAUGCAUUACAUAAUAGCAGCAGACUUUUACAGCACAAGAAUAGGAAGCAUGUAAUUGUUCAUAAUAGAAAUUGUU